rnacentral:rRNA from 1 species
UACAGAGGUCUCAAGCGUUGUUCGGAUUCAUUGGGCGUAAAGGGUGUGUAGGUGGCGCGUUAAGUCGGGUGUGAAAUUUCGGAGCUUAACUCCGAAACUGCAUUCGAUACUGGCGUGCUUGAGGACUGGAGAGGAAACUGGAAUUUACGGUGUAGCAGUGAAAUGCGUAGAGAUCGUAAGGAAGACCAGUGGCGAAGGCGAGUUUCUGGACAGUUACUGACGCUGAGGCACGAAGGCCAGGGGAGCAAACGGG